CUUCACUGUAUUUUGACAUUGGUUUUAGGCUUGACAUGUGUAGGAUAGGUGGGAGGCUUUGAAGCGGUGACGCCAGUCAUCGUGGAGCCAACCUUGAAAUACCACCCUUGUCCGGUUUGAGAUCUAACCGUGGCCCGUAAUCCGGGUCCGGGACCGUGUCUGAUGGUCAGUUUGACUGGGGCGGUCGCCUCCUAAAUGGUAACGGAGGCAUCCAAUGGUUCCCUCAGCGCGGUCGGUAAUCGCGCGUAGAGCAUAAAGGCAUAAGGGAGCUUAACUGCGAGACAGACAUGUCGAGCAGAUACGAAAGUAGGGCUUAGUGAUCCCGCGGUACAGCGUGGAACGGCCGUUGCCCAAUGGAUAAAAGGUA
rnacentral:rRNA from 1 species